UUGCUUUUGAUUUAUUGAUCAAGCUUCAGACACUGAUUAAUCCAGAGUUCAAUGGUAGGCCACCGACGAGCAACGGGCCAGAGGGUCGAUGAGAACCCCCCGGCGGUCCCCGGAGGGACGGGCUCGCCGAAGCAACACAAGGGUCAAGUAGACAAAGGGUUGGAGGUUGGGCCUGGAAGACCCUAACUCGAUAAUGAUCCUUCCGCAGGUUCACCUGUAUCGACUAGGUUAGCGACGGUCAUCAAAACGGUGAAGAAGAGAAGAAAAGUGAUAUACUGACCUACGGAAA
rnacentral:misc_RNA from 1 species